UACGUAGGGUGCGAGCGUUGUCCGGAAUUAUUGGGCGUAAAGAGCUCGUAGGCGGUCUGUCGCGUCGGUCGUGAAAACUUGGGGCUUAACCCUGAGCUUGCGGUCGAUACGGGCAGACUAGAGUUCGGUAGGGGAGUCUGGAAUUCCUGGUGUAGCGGUGAAAUGCGCAGAUAUCAGGAGGACACCGGUGGCGAAGGCGGGACUCUGGGCCGAUACUGACGCUGAGGAGCGAAAGCGUGGGGAGCGAACAGG
rnacentral:rRNA from 1 species